rnacentral:misc_RNA from 1 species
AUGAUUGCGAAUCGCUACCUUUGGUGCUGGCUCUCGCGAGCAAGUGCACGUUGGUGGCUUUCCUCCACUACUACCCUUGUGAACCUUUGGCCUCUUGCUCGCUUCGGCUGGCAGAGGAUUUUUUACACACACACUCGAAUGGAAUGAAAACAUUUGUCGUGCGCAAGCACUAAUGUA